AGCCAAUGAUGUUCUGAAUCUGAUACAUACUGAUGUAUUGGAUCUACGAACUUGUUUGCUAUAAAUUUAGAUUAUUUAAAAUAUUUAAAUAAUUUUAUAAUAAGAUAGAGAAAUAAAUUUGAAAGAGCAUUGAAACUCUUCGGUCAGACCAAAGAGGAGAACGCCCUUCCGAUAAAUUUUGACAUAUCUAGAAGAGAAUAGGAUUUUCUUCUGUG
rnacentral:lncRNA from 1 species